AGUUUCACAUCUGUCGAAUGGGAAGUUACAAAGAUGCUCCACUGAAGCUUGUUCACCUUCAAGCUGCAGAAUGAUUUCUACAUGACAGUCUGGCUCCCUGGCCUGCAGUGGGAAGCCUUGCCAGAAUAGGGUACACUGUGUAUGCUUGAAGCUGAGGUAUUGACAUCCAGCAAUUCAUAAUCAACCAAUCAAUUCACUCUGCAUAUGAUAUUUGGGUGUAUGGCUGACAUCCACACUAUGACUGACUGAGACAAUGGAGACUUCAUUGACUUAGCGUUGAAUGAAAACCAUCCAGGCCAAAGCAACCCAUUGAUUGAUGACCUCCACCACCCUCCUUCAACAUUCACUCCCUUCACCAUCAAUGACCAGUGGCUGCAGUACAUACCAUCUACAAGAUGAACUACAGUCACUCACCAUCCACCUUCAACAGAACAUUACAAGUCUAUGACAGUUACCAUCUAAAAGAAUAAGGAUAGCUGAUGCACAGGAACACCAUUAUCUGCAAGUUCCCUCUGCGCUGGAGCAUUGUCCUGGCUUGGAAUGGUAUCACUGUCCCUUCACUGUCACUGGGUCAAAGUGUUAGAACUGCCUUCCUAACAGCACUGUGGGAAUCUGUGCACCUGAAGGAUUGCAUUGGCUCAAGAAUUCAGUUCACCACCAUCUUCUCCAGGGCAAAUACAGCUGAAUAAUAUAAGCAUUACCAUUGAUACCCACAUCCCGUGAACA